GGAACAGUUACAGUUUCGAAAACCAUGAACUUGUAGCAGACGGUUUGUGUAUCUACACCCUCCGUGCUGUUAUAGGGUUGUAGAUUUACUGUAAAGCACUACUGUGCUUUGUACCAGGAAACACAUAAAUUGAUUAAGGAGUUUCCUAUGGAAUUUGAUCCUAGAGAACACCAACAUACCAGGUACAAUCCUUUGAAGGAUGAGUGGAUUCUUGUGUCUCCUCAUCGAAUGAAGAGACCAUGGAAAGGUCAAGUAGAAAAACCAUCAGAGAAAAAAGUGCAAGCUAAGGAUUUAAAUAAUCCUUUGUGUCCCGGAGCUGUUAGAGGAAAUGGAGAGGUUAACCCUGAUUACAAACAUACUUUUACUUUUAAAAAUGACUUCCCGGCACUUUUAGAGGAUGUUCCUGAUCCAGGUCCAAGCCAACAUCCAUUAUUCAGGUCUGAAGCUGCUUGUGGAGUGUGUGAAGUCAUGUGCUUUCAUCCCAGGUCUGAUGUCACUUUACCACUGAUGACUUUGUAUGAAAUAAAUGAAGUUAUACGCAAAUGGAGUGAAAGAACUUUAGAGCUAGGGAAGAAGUAUAGAUGGGUUCAGAUUUUUGAAAACAAAGGAGAAAUAAUGGGUUGCUCUAAUCCCCAUCCACACUGUCAGAUUUGGGCAAGUUCUUUUCUACCAAAUGAGGCUCGUAUUGAAGAUCGCUCACAAAAAGAUUACUACAGAAAACAUGGAGUCCCAAUGUUAAUUGAUUAUGUGAAUCAGGAACUUGAAAUGCAGGAACGUAGUGUUGUACAUAAUGACCACUGGAUAGCAGUAGUUCCUUACUGGGCAGUGUGGCCUUAUGAAACGAUGCUUUUACCACGACGUCACGUUAAAAGGCUUUACGACCUAAAUGACACAGAAAGGGCUAGCUUGGCAGAUAUUAUGAAAAGACUGCUUACAAAAUAUGAUAACCUGUUUGAAGUUUCAUUUCCUUAUUCUAUGGGUUGGCAUGGAGCCCCAACUGGUGAUAUGGAACACAUUGAAAACUCCCACUGGCAGUUACAUGCCCAUUAUCUUCCUCCGUUACUAAGGUCAGCAACAGUGAAAAAGUUCAUGGUGGGUUACGAGAUGCUAGCUCAAGCUCAACGAGAUUUAACGUCAGAACAGGCAGCGGCAAAAUUACGUGAGCUUCCAGAAGUUCAUUUCAUGGAAUACAACAGUGAUUAUUGUGAAUGUUAACAACCCCAGGCAAUAUCAAAAAGUCCAAAAUCCAUUGAUGGGCAGGAAGUUCUCAUCCCCAAGUACUGGAUAAAACAUAGAAUUCUACAGAACAAUAACAUCAUGAAUGCUGAUGAUGGAAUGACAAAUUUUGACCCAAAUGGUGAAGCAUAACGUAUGCCAACAUCACUAAAUACUUCUCCUGGUAGCCCUAAAUCACACAGAUAAAGGCUAGCAUUGCUGCUGGGAAAGGCAGAUGGAAGUACGGUAAC
rnacentral:misc_RNA from 1 species